GGGGCAGAACGCGGCGGUUACCUACGGAUAUGCAGCCUCGGCCUUGUUUCUAUGGAACCUUGCUGAAAGGUUGCCUUUAAUGGGCAAGCUACGUAAACAGAAAUGGUACCGUAUAUAUAUAUAUGUCUUUAAACUAUGGGCACCUUCGAUAGAUAACUAGCAGAAAUAGUUUGGUGCUUCUGUUUUUCAUCACAAAUCACGACUUCGCAGCUGUUCGCGUCAUUCAAAUUUCGGAAGCGGAGGGGACAUUCGGUCCAUGGACUUGCCCGUAACUUUGAAACGGAGAGGGUGGAGCUCAAACGUAAAACUUGUUACUGCAUUAAUUUUGUUACGCACUUCUACAAUGUAUCAACAAUAGGCUACAUUAUGCAUCGCGAUUCUUGACGUAGGCGCUUCUUCAUGUGACCUGACUUACCGAUAUGCUACUAAAGUUCUGUAGUUCUCAUGGACUUCUCGUGAAUUUAGUCUAAUGUAGUAGGCAUUAGACAGUAAACGGGUUUUAAAUCAACAUUCUUAAAUCAACAAACUAAUCAUAAGAGGCAACAUGGCUUUUUCCAUUCCUAUGGUUAUAGUUACACUGUUUUGGGGAUUUGUUGGAGGGGUGGUACCAUGGUUUAUUCCGAAGGGACCAAACAGAGGGUGAGUAUUGCGGAACAUAAUUCAUUUUCUACUGUGCAGGAAAUGUGAAAGAGAUGAGAAUGAAAAAUAAUCCUGGCUUGUCGGAUUUUGUUUAUCGAUAUUAUAUCACAAAAAGUUCACGAAAUGUAUAAGAAAAUGACGUGUUUGUUAUGGCCUACUCUUUGAUGGUGUGGCUUUAAACUUUAGAAAAAUAACAUGUUUAUUCCAUUGCAUUACUGUAUGAAUGGCCAUAUCUGCUUCUCACAGGGUCGUCAUUACCAUGCUAGUAUUGACUGCAGUUUGCUGCUACUUGUUAGCAGUGUAGUCACGUGGGUCGCGCGUCAGCCAGGCUAGUGACCUCUGAGCUAGCUAGUGACAGGCAAACACACAUACCUACUUAUUAACAACAUUUAAGGAAGUUUAUUUUAAAAUUAUUCAUAAAUAUUAUCCUGCCAACCACUAUAUGUAGAAGUAAAAAAAUUA